GAUGAAGAACGUAGCAAAAUGCGAUAAGUAAUGUGAAUUGCAGAAUUCAGUGAAUCAUCGAAUCUUUGAACGCACAUUGCGCCCGCCAGUAUUCUGGCGGGCAUGCCUGUUCGAGCGUCAUUUCAACCCUCAAGCACAGCUUGGUGUUGGGACUCGCGUUAAAUCGCGUUCCCCAAAUUGAUUGGCGGUCACGUCGAGCUUCCAUAGCGUAGUAGUAAAACCCUCGUUACUGGUAAUCGUCGCGGCCACGCCGUUAAACCCCAACUUCUGAAUGUUGACCUCGGAUCAGGUAGGAAUACCCGCUGAACUUAAGCAUAUCAAUAAGCGGAGGA
rnacentral:misc_RNA from 1 species